rnacentral:rRNA from 1 species
AUGAACGCUGGCGGCGUGCCUAAUACAUGCAAGUCGAACGCACAGCGAAAGGUGCUUGCACCUUUCAAGUGAGUGGCGAACGGGUGAGUAACACGUGGACAACCUGCCUCAAGGCUGGGGAUAACAUUUGGAAACAGAUGCUAAUACCGAAUGAAACUUAGUGUCGCAUGAUACGAAGUUAAAAGGCGCUUUGGCGUCACCUAGAGAUGGAUCCGCGGUGCAUUAGUUAGUUGGUGGGGUAAAGGCCUACCAAGACAAUGAUGCAUAGCCGAGUUGAGAGACUGAUCGGCCACAUUGGGACUGAGACACGGCCCAAACUCCUACGGGAGGCUGCAGUAGGGAAUCUUCCACAAUGGGCGAAAGCCUGAUGGAGCAACGCCGCGUGUGUGAUGAAGGCUUUCGGGUCGUAAAGCACUGUUGUAUGGGAAGAACAGCUAGAAUAGGGAAUGAUUUUAGUUUGACGGUACCAUACCAGAAAGGGACGGCUAAAUACGUGCCAGCAGCCGCGGUAAUACGUAUGUCCCGAGCGUUAUCCGGAUUUAUUGGGCGUAAAGCGAGCGCAGACGGUUGAUUAAGUCUGAUGUGAAAGCCCGGAGCUCAACUCCGGAAUGGCAUUGGAAACUGGUUAACUUGAGUGCAGUAGAGGUAAGUGGAACUCCAUGUGUAGCGGUGGAAUGCGUAGAUAUAUGGAAGAACACCAGUGGCGAAGGCGGCUUACUGGACUGUAACUGACGUUGAGGCUCGAAAGUGUGGGUAGCAAACAGGAUUAGAUACCCUGGUAGUCCACACCGUAAACGAUGAACACUAGGUGUUAGGAGGUUUCCGCCUCUUAGUGCCGAAGCUAACGCAUUAAGUGUUCCGCCUGGGGAGUACGACCGCAAGGUUGAAACUCAAAGGAAUUGACGGGGACCCGCACAAGCGGUGGAGCAUGUGGUUUAAUUCGAAGCAACGCGAAGAACCUUACCAGGUCUUGACAUCCUUUGAAGCUUUUAGAGAUAGAAGUGUUCUCUUCGGAGACAAAGUGACAGGUGGUGCAUGGUUGUCGUCAGCUCGUGUCGUGAGAUGUUGGGUUAAGUCCCGCAACGAGCGCAACCCUUAUUGUUAGUUGCCAGCAUUCAGAUGGGCACUCUAGCGAGACUGCCGGUGACAAACCGGAGGAAGGCGGGGACGACGUCAGAUCAUCAUGCCCCUUAUGACCUGGGCUACACACGUGCUACAAUGGCGUAUACAACGAGUUGCCAACCCGCGAGGGUGAGCUAAUCUCUUAAAGUACGUCUCAGUUCGGAUUGUAGUCUGCAACUCGACUACAUGAAGUCGGAAUCGCUAGUAAUCGCGGAUCAGCACGCCGCGGUGAAUACGUUCCCGGGUCUUGUACACACCGCCCGUCACACCAUGGGAGUUUGUAAUGCCCAAAGCCGGUGGCCUAACCUUUUAGGAAGGAGCCGUCUAAGGCAGGACAGAUGACUGGGGUG